AAAGCCAAAAAGCAUCACAUUGGAGCGGGGGGCUGAAGGCCUGGGCUUCAGUAUCGUCGGGGGGUUUGGCAGCCCCCACGGUGACCUACCUAUCUACGUCAAAACUGUCUUCAGCAAGGGGGCAGCAGCAGUGGACGGCCGUCUGAAGCGCGGCGAUCAGAUCCACUCGGUCAGCGGUGAGUCCCUGGAAGGGGUGACUCAUGAGCAAGCGGUGGCUAUCCUGAAAAAGCAGAGAGGGGCAGUCACCCUGUCUGUCCUGUCCUGACCUGACCACUUUAAAAACUCCACCCAUCUCCCGUCCCACCGGGACACAUGCCACAAGAAACACCACAUCAUCUUCAUCAUCUUCAUCAUCUUCACUCCAGAAUGGAUUUGGGAUGCGUUUGGUUCCAACCUAUGCAGCAUUACAUUCCCAAAACUUGAGCCCUUUAAUGUACAUGAUCUUGACUGAGUGGACAUCUUGAGCCCUUUAAUGUACAUGAUCUUGACUGAGUGAACAUCUUGUGAAGAUGAAUGAAGAUAUUACAAUAACUGGAGACAGCUCCUCCUAUGCAAGAGAUGACAUAUACUGUAUAUCCCACAUAUAAUCAGGACGCUCCAACCACACAAACGGAAAUGCUCUCGAGGCCUAUCCUGGAUGGUGUGAUGUUACGUUCCCACACACACUCAAGCUAUUCAAGUGUUCUGUAACGCUGUCCUGAUCUCAGGUCAGUGAAAUCAGCUGAGCAUAAAUCAUCAGAAUGACUCCUGCAUACAGAAUCCCCACGUUGAAUACAAAAUAUAAUAAUAGAUAGCUUAUCAGUAAGUAAUUACUGAUGGAAAACAAUAUGGACGAUUGUCUUUGAAAAAAGCCUGUACAAAUCACAUAACCAUGCUAAGCAAAAGAAUGAAUCAAGUGCUAUUGUCUGACAUUUAGAUAGAAACACUCUUAAGAUUGGCAGCCACACAAUGCCUCUUUCAUGCAAUAUGUUUUUACGAGUGCACAUGUAGCCAUAGAAUCCUUUCAGUAAUGUUGGGGGAGACAAUUUAGAGGAAUAUCCACUAUGCUGAUUUCCUCAACCAUGUCCUGUGAGAUUUUGAAUUUGGGUGUCUGAAUAUUUUAUGCCAUCACAUUUGAGCAGUAUUCUUUUCAGCUACUGAUGUUGUGCUUUUAGGUUAUAGCUUUUCUGUCAUUAUAGUAGCUAAAAUGUCUAGAAAUCCAUCUGACUCAUCACGGACAAGUACAAGUACUGUUUCGGUACUAUUUCUCCUCACUUCAUCAUCGUGCUUCUUUCUUUGGAGGACAUCUGAAAUGUUUCAAGUUGUAGUAUUCUGUCAUUGAGUCAUUCAAUGUUAACAGUGUGAGGAUCAAACAUAGUACAUGUGGAAUAACACUCUUGUCUCUAGACAGCCAGCAUCUCACUCUGUCCAGUAUGGGAUUUGGACAGACACUUUCUUUGAACAACGACUUUGAUUUUGAUAUGGUCACUCAGGUGCUUGUGUCCGUAACUUGUGCUCACAAUCACAGGCAGAAAUACAUCCAAUCGAAAAAGUGUGCACAUCCCAAUUAAAGUGGCAGGCUUUUAUGAUGUAAAAAAAAAAAAAGGUU